rnacentral:rRNA from 1 species
ACUCAAAUGAAUUGACGGGGACCCGCACAAGCAGAGGAGGAUGUGGUUUAAUAUGACGCUACGCGUAGAACCUUACCGAGGCUUGACAUCCCUGGGACCCGCUGGAAACAGUGGGGUGCCUUCGGGAGCCAGGUGACAGGUGCUGCAUGGCCGUCGUCAGCUCGUGUCGUGAGAUGUUGGGUUAAGUCCCGCAACGAGCGCAACCCUUAUCGUAUGUUGUAUUUUUCAUGCGAGACUGCCCGGGCCAACCGGGAGGAAGGUGGGGAUGACGUCAGGUCGGCAUGGCCCUUACGCCUCGGGCCACACACGUCCUACAAUGGCCGGUACAACGCGCCGCAAACCCGCGAGGGGGAGCUAAUCGCAUCAAAACCGGUCUCAGUUCGGAUUGGAGGCUGCAACUCGCCUCCAUGAAGUCGGAUUUGCUAGUAAACGUGGGUCAGCACACCGCGUUGAAUACGUUCCCGGGUCUUGUACACACCGCCCGU